GACGAACGCUGGCGGCGUGGAUUAGGCAUGCAAGUCGAACGGUAUCAUCCUUUCGGGGGUGAGAGAGUGGCGAACUGGUGAGUAACACGUAGGUUAUCUACCCUCAAGACGGGGACAACCCAGGGAAACUUGGGCUAAUACCGGAUGUGAGCAACUUUUAGUUGUUUGAAAGGUGGCGUAAGCUGUCGCUUGGGGAUGAGCCUGCGUCCUAUUAGUUAGUUGGUGAGGUAACGGCUCACCUAGGCAAUGAUAGGUAGGCGGCCUUAACGGGUGGUCGCCCACACUGGGAUUGAGAUACGGCCCAGACUCCUACGGGAGGCAGCAGUCGAGAAUAGUCUACAAUGGUCGGAAGACUGAUAGUGCGACGCCGCGUGAACGAUGAAUCCCUUCGGGGUGUAAAGUUCUUUUCUAUACGAGCAGUGCUAUAUAUAUUCAAAGUAUAUAUAGAGGGAUAGUAGUAUAGGAAUAAGCAACGGCUAACUCCGUGCCAGCAGCCGCGGUAAGCUCGU
rnacentral:rRNA from 1 species